rnacentral:rRNA from 1 species
GGUUCGAUUCCGGAGAGGGAGCCUGAGGAACGGCUACCACAUCCAGGGAAGGCAGCAGGCACGCAAAUUACCCAAUCCCAGAACGGGGAGGUUGUGACGAAAAAUAACAAUACGGGACUCUUAUGAGGCCCCGUAAUUGGAAUGAGAACAAUCUAAAUCCUUUAACGAGGAUCUAUUGGAGGGCAAGUCUGGUGCCAGCAGCCGCGGUAAUUCCAGCUCCAAUAGCGUAUAUUAAAGUUGUCGUGGUUAAAAGCUCGUAGUUGGAUCUCAGUUCGAGUCAGGCGGUCCACUUGCCAGUGGCUACUGCCUGACUGAACACUUUACCGAGUUGUCCUAUGGUGUUCUUCACCGAGCGUCAUAGGCGAUCGGUACGUUUACUUUGAAAAAAUUAGAGUGCUCAAAGCAGGCGUAACGCCCGAAUAAUGUUGCAUGGAAUAAUGGAAUAGGACCUCGGUUCUAUUUUGUUGGUCUUCGGAAUCAGAGGUAAUGAUCAAUAGGGACAGACGGGGACAUUCGUAUUGCGGCGCUAGAGGUGAAAUUCUUGGACCGUCGCAAGACGAACUAAAGCGAAAGCAUUUGUCAAGAAUGUUUUCAUUAAUCAAGAACGAAACUUAGAGGUUCGAAGGCGACCAGAUACCGCCCUAGUUCUAACCAUAAACGAUGCCAACCAGUAAUUCGUCUGAGUUCCUUAAAUGACUCGACGAGGGACUUCCGGAAACCAAAGUCUUUCGGUUCCAGGGGAAGUAUGGUUGCAAAGCUGAAACUUAAAGAAAUUGACGGAAGGGCACCACCAGGAGUGGAGCCUGCGGCUUAAUUUGACCCAACACGGGAAAACUCACCCGGCCCGGACACUGGAAGGAUUGACAGAUUGAGAGCUCUUUCUUGAUUCAGUGGGUGGUGGUGCAUGGCCGUUCUUAGUUGGUGGAGUGAUUUGUCUGGUUAAUUCCGAUAACGAACGAGACUCUAGCCUACUAAAUAGAUCGUCGGCUUACAAACGCCGGCGAGACUUCUUAGAGGGACAGGCGGUGAUUCAACCGCACGAAACAGAGCAAUAACAGGUCUGUGAUGCCCUUAGAUGUCCGGGGCCGCACGCGCGCUACACUGAAGUGAUCAGCGUGCUUUUUCAACCUACUCUGUCAAGAGUGGGGAACCCAAUGAACCUUCUUCGUGAUUGGGAUAGGGGAUUGUAAUUAUUCCCCUUGAACGAGGAAUUCCCAGUAAGCGCGAGUCAUAAGCUCGCGUUGAUUACGUCCCUGCCCUUUGUACACACCGCCCGUCGCUACUACCGAUUGAAUGUUUUAGUGAGGUCUUCGGACUGGCCGGCGCAGCACUCUCGUAGUGCAGCGCUGUGUUUGGAAAGAUGCCCAAACUUGAACAUUAGAGGAAGUAAAAGUCGUAACAAGGUU